GAUGAACGCUAGCUACAGGCUUAACACAUGCAAGUCGAGGGACCGGCGCACGGGUGAGUAACACGUAUCCAAACUGCCCUUUACUCGGGGAUAGCCUUUCGAAAGAAAGAUUAAUACCCGAUAUAAAGGAUGGGGAUGCGUUCCAUUAGGUUGUUGGUGAGGUAACGGCUCACCAAGCCUUCGAUGGAUAGGGGUUCUGAGAGGAAGGUACACCACAAUGGAGAUGAGACACGGACCAAAACCCUACGGGAGGCAGCAGUGAGGAAUAUUGGUCAAGGGGCGCUAGCCUGAACCAGCCAAGUAGCGGGAAGGAGGAAGGCUUAUGGGUCGUAAACUUCUUGUAUAUAAGAAAAUGUAAUAAAUGAAUAAGGAUCGGCUAACUCCGUGCCAGCAGCCGCGGUAAUAC
rnacentral:rRNA from 1 species